rnacentral:rRNA from 1 species
GACGAACGCUGGCGGCGUGCUUAACACAUGCAAGUCGAACGGAAAGGCCCUGCUUGCAGGGUACUCGAGUGGCGAACGGGUGAGUAACACGUGGGUGAUCUGCCCUGCACUUCGGGAUAAGCCUGGGAAACUGGGUCUAAUACCGGAUAGGAGCCAUUUUUAGUGUGAUGGUUGGAAAGUUUUUUCGGUGUAGGAUGAGCUCGCGGCCUAUCAGCUUGUUGGUGGGGUAAUGGCCUACCAAGGCGGCGACGGGUAGCCGGCCUGAGAGGGUGGACGGCCACAUUGGGACUGAGAUACGGCCCAGACGCCUACGGGGGGCAGCAGUGGGGAAUAUUGCACAAUGGGCGCAAGCCUGAUGCAGCGACGCCGCGUGGGGGAUGACGGCCUUCGGGUUGUAAACUCCUUUCGCUAGGGACGAAGCUUUUUGUGACGGUACCUAGAUAAGAAGCACCGGCUAACUACGUG